AUUGAACGCUGGCGGUAGGCCUAACACAUGCAAGUCGAACGGCAGCACGGGGGCAGCUCGCGUGUCGAGGUGCGAACGGGUGGGUAAUACAUCGAAACGUGGCCGGUCGCGGGGGAGAACGUGGUAAAAGUUACGCUAAUACCCCAUUCGAUCUUAGGACGAAAGCGGGGAACCUCGGGCCCUUCGGCCUUUGCGCGGGCGGAUGUGCCGAUGUCGGAUUAGUUAGUUGGUGGGGUAAAGGCCCACCAAGCCGACGAUGGGUAGCUGGUCUGAGAGGACGAACAGCCACACUGGGACUGAGACACGGCCCAGACUCCUACGGGAGGCAGCAGUGGGGAAUUUUGGACAAUGGGCGCAAGCCUGAUCCAGCCAUACCGCGUGCAGGAAGAAGGCCUUCGGGUUGUAAACUGCUUUUGUUCGGAACGAAAAGGAUCUGGUUAAUACCGGGCGGUCAUGACGGUACCGUAAGAAUAAGCACCGGCUAACUUCGUG
rnacentral:rRNA from 1 species